GCGAGAGUAGUACUAGGAA
rnacentral:snRNA from 1 species